UACGUAGGCAGCAAGCGUUGUUCGGAAUUACUGGGCGUAAAGAGUGUGUAGGCGGCCCGGUAAGUCUGUUGUGAAAGUCCAGGGCUCAACCCUGGAAUGCCGAUGGAUACUGCCGGGCUAGAGUUCGGAAGAGGCGAGUGGAAUUCCUGGUGUAGCGGUGGAAUGCGCAGAUAUCAGGAGGAACACCUAUAGCGAAGGCAGCUCGCUGGGACGACACUGACGCUGAGACGCGAAAGCGUGGGGAGCGAACAGG
rnacentral:rRNA from 1 species